AGCGGCUGUUGCCGGGGCAACUGCUCCCGCUCGGGGCAGCGAGGGCCGGUCAGUCUCGAGAAUUAAGACGGAGGGCCUCCUCGGACCCUACAGAGUUGUUUGAAUAACAUUUUUCCGUUUGUGGGAACCCUAACCCUAAUCCACUUUGUGCUGUCCCAGGACUCGCAUAGAGGAGUGCAGGUUCUGAUUCCUGCUGGGAAGAAAAAUGAUUAGGACUGUAAAGCCUUCUAGCUCCCUCUUGCCAAAAAGAGGCUGGUCACAGAGGCGGGAGACAGUCUGUUAAGCGGGGAGCUGACCAUCUGAGGACAGACACUGAGGAAGGAGGAUGGAAUGAUUUUGGCAGUGAAUGACAAUUCCUUCAACAAGACCCCCCUCCCACACUCACUUCAAAGGAACAGUGGACAGGAUGUGCUUUCCAAAAUACUGCAGUUUAAUUCUGAAAAACUCAAAUGCAAGAGGCCCAGAGCUGUCUACGGGAUUGGAUCUCCUGCAACCUGCCUUGGGCCCCAGAAGAGACUGGCAAUGUCAGCCUCCUCCCUGCUCUGCCUGAGAGAGGCCACGGAGAACUUCCUUAUCGGGCCCAAACUGGAGCCGCUGACUGCUCAGAGCAAGAUUUCUGCCUUGAAAGCAAAUGCAGUAGCCUCAGAAAUGUGCAGCGCAUGCUUCUUCCUCCCCCUCUCCCCCUCCAGUCCGGCAGAGCUGCAGUAAAGAUGCCUGCAGGUCAUGA